UACGUAGGGGGCAAGCGUUGUCCGGAUUUAUUGGGCGUAAAGAGCUCGUAGGCGGUUUGUCGCGUCGGAUGUGAAAUCCCAGGGCUUAACCCUGGGCCUGCAUUCGAUACGGGCAGACUAGAGUUCGGUAGGGGAGACUGGAAUUCCUGGUGUAGCGGUGAAAUGCGCAGAUAUCAGGAGGAACACCGGUGGCGAAGGCGGGUCUCUGGGCCGAUACUGACGCUGAGGAGCGAAAGCGUGGGGAGCGAACAGG
rnacentral:rRNA from 1 species